GCAGCAGCUUUCUGAUCAGACGGCCUGACGCUCACGCGCGCGUCAGACCGAAUUUAAUACCCACGCGCGAGUGUUUUCACGCGCCUAUAAAUUUUAUUUUCCUUUCCUGUCCGCGUAGCCAUUUCCAUCUGAAUCUUCUCUCUCUCUCCCCUCUCUCCUCACCUUGAAACUCCCCGCCUCCCUCUUCGACGCCUCAAAAUCGCCUGCAACGACGACAAGGAGGUCGACAAUGAAGAGCAACGAGCGGCGGAGGAGCAGCAGCGGGCAUGAAUGACGGCGGCGCAACAUAGGGGAACGGAUAACAGAUCGAAGGCGCGGGGAUGGCGUGAGUGUCAAAAAAGGCAAAGGAAUCACCAUUGUUGUCAAGUAAUUCGAGUGUGAGCCGGAUGAAUUCACCUCCCAGAUAUCCAAUAUUAUCGCCAUUGAAUGUGAAAAUUGGAAGUAUGGAUUGAUGGUGUUCAUUGAAGUGUUGAUCGAGUAAGCAGAUCCUGGAGAUUGAGAAAGAGGUCCACAAAUUGUUGUCUCAUUGUUGUUGAACACAAGAUUAAUGCAAAUUUUCUUGUUUUCUCGGCAAAGCACAUACCCAUUUAUUUUUGUAAUGAGUAAAUUGGUUUAAAUUAAGAGUAAUCUCUUUUUAGUUAAACAUAAUUUUGUUUUAGUGAAGAUUAAUUUCUUUUAGUUAAGCAUAAUUUUGAAUUAGUUAACCUUCUAUAUUGAUUUAGUUUUAUACUCGUAAGGGCAACAACUUGUAUGAUACUCUAAGUCUCUAACUAAUUUGUAUAAAAACUUAACUAUUUUGCUUAUAA